GAUGAGCGCUGGCGGCGUGCUUAACACAUGCAAGUCGAACGAUGAACCGGGUGCUUGCACUCGGGGAUUAGUGGCGAACGGGUGAGUAACACGUGAGCAACCUGCCCCUGACUCUGGGAUAAGCGCUGGAAACGGCGUCUACUACUGGAUAUGUCCCGUCACCGCAUGGUGUGCGGGUGGAAAGAUUUUUCGGUUGGGGAUGGGCUCGCGGCCUAUCAGCUUGUUGGUGAGGUAAUGGCUCACCAAGGCGUCGACGGGUAGCCGGCCUGAGAGGGUGACCGGCCACACUGGGACUGAGACACGGCCCAGACUCCUACGGGAGGCAGCAGUGGGGAAUAUUGCACAAUGGGCGGAAGCCUGAUGCAGCAACGCCGCGUGAGGGAUGACGGCCUUCGGGUUGUAAACCUCUUUUAGUAGGGAAGAAGCGAAAGUGUCGGUACCUGCAGAAAAAGCACCGGCUAACUACGUGCCAGCAGCCGCCGUAA
rnacentral:rRNA from 1 species